AUCACGGCUCUACUCUGCUUCCUGACCUUUCCUCUACACUUUGCAACUGCUGUGAUGCUUCUGCCUCGUCACAGGCCCAAAUCAACAGAACCAAGCAACCAUGAACCAAACGUCUGAAACCGCAAGCCAAAGAAAAUCCCUGCUGCUUUAAGAUGCUUCCAUCGGGCUUCUGUCACAGUAAUGUACAAACAGUAACACACUCCCAUUGUGCUAUUACAAGGCUGGAACAUACUUUGAGAAAUGCCGGGUGUCCUUGGAGAAGGUCCAGGAAGAAGCUGUCGGUGAAGGUGCAACCUAGGUACAGUGAACACCCAGCAUUUUGGAGAAUCCAGUGUCAUCUCAUGGCCACCAAGGACAGCUGCAGCUGUGGUGUGGAGCUGAUCUAAGCCUAUGAGACAAGCUGUCUGUGCUGUGAAUGGCAGAACCAGAUAUGUGCAGAUGUCCAAACCCUUUGGAGCUCAGAAAAUCAACAGUGGAUCCCAGACAUCAAACACCAAUGGAGUUCACAUUGCUGGAUGUGGUUUUGUGUUGACUUGACUGUGAGUGCCCUGAAUCGUCUUCUGGCACAAGAAGUUCCUGCCUCCAGGUUCAUGCUAUGUUUUGAGUUCCUGCCAACACUCCCUUCUGCAAGGAACUGUUAACUGAACUGUUAACCGUAAGUGUAAGAUAAAAUAAACUUCCCCAGUCAAGGACUAUUUUGAGGUUGCCUUCUCUAUCUAAGCUUGGUAGAGCAGAACAGCUCUUGGCUGCUUGUACAGAUACUCAAGGUUUUCUUGUGGUUUUCACCUUUAAGCAUCCUUCCCUCAUCCCCCCUUUACUUGGUGCACUUCUGAUUUGGGCAGUUAUAAUCUGAAUUAAGCCUAGUGGUCUUUUCCUGGGGGGUCAUGACUCCAUAAAACUUUCUCUACUAAAAUUUCAGCUCUAAUAGGAUGGUUUGAUGUCAUUCUGCCCUUCUGUUACAUUUGUACAUAUUAUUUCAACUAAUUAAACAUAAGCAACACAAUUGGAAGUAUGUCGUUAGUAUUGUGUUUAGAAAAGGAAUUUGUGUCAUGGGAUCCAAACUGAGGGAGGGGAGGGCAGUGGGCUCAUUUUCACCAUCAUGUAUAUAUUUGGAUCAUAUCUGGAUCUUGAAAUUCAUGGUUGGGCUUCCUUCCUUCUUGCUUUCCUGACACUUGUAAAGAUGUGUUCCUGGAGUUGAUUUGUGUGUCUUUGAGGAUGAUGUGACCAUGAAAACGAUCAUGACCAGAUUCUGUGAACAACUGGUGUAUAUACAGUGCUCUCCCAACAUACUGUGAGGGCUACUGUGUUGCCACCAUCCCAAGGCAUGACAUACCCUUCUCUGGCCUCACAGCAUGGUACAGAAAGGCUGGGGAGUACACACAGCUGGCCAGUUGCAGAGCCUGGCCUCUGUUCAGAUCUAGGCUGUUUUCUUCACUCCUAGCCUCCCCUCCUUCCAGUGUGAGGACAUCUGACCUAGAUCUUGCAUUGAGGCAGUUCUUUCCCUAUGUACACCAGGUCUCACCAAAGAGUGAGCUGGUGUAAUCGAUCUAUCUGGGGACACUGGUAGAUGAAGUCUGUUUCUGCAGACCUAGAAGGGCUCUUGGCCCUCGAUCCAGUUCCUUUACUCUGUAACCAAGGAAACUCGAAUCCCCAGAAACCAUACAUACACUGUUGGGAAGAGAGAAAUCAGGGCUACAGAAGAUUGGCAUUCAGAGGGACUCAAGGAACAGGAAGGAACCAUGUGGGUGAAUGGAUAUGGCUGUCUGUUCUUGGGAUGUGAUGUGACUAGCCACCUUGAGUCCUUGCCCUGACUUCCCUUUAACAAUGAACUAUAUAACCCAGAAUAUGAGUGGAAAUGAGCUUUUUCUUCCCUAACUUGCUUUUUGUCAGGAUAUUUUAUCACAGCAACAGAAUUGAAAGCUAGGACUGUAGCCAGAGAGGGGCUCCGCAGGGAAUCAGUUGUAAAUUGACAUACUGGAUUGUGAAUUGGGGAGGGGACGUUUCUAGAACUUUCUUAGGAACGCGUGUCUCCUUCCUUUCUGAAGCAAAAGAAGAAAGGCAGCAGCAGGCAUGCUAAGCAUUCAGAGGUAGUAUCUGGAAAGUGUGAAUGGAAAACCACCCCACAGUCCCUAAGCCGAAGACUGCAGCAGUGGCUCUGAGGUGAUGUGUACAGUGUGUCUGCCAGUAAAUCACCGGAAAGAAGGAACGAGUGUUGAGAAAAGAUGUUAUCUCCUGGGCAUGGGGAGUUAUUGAGCAUCUGAGUCAGGGAGCAGGGUUUUGUGGGAAGGCAAUUUCCUGGGUCCUCUCCCAAGGACAAUGAAUCACAGCUGAGACCUGCCACACUAGGGAGGAAGGCCAGAGGGUGACGUGUCCAGAAAACUGGAAGUGACUGCCAAGCACUCAGGCAAGACUGUGUGGACACUUUCUGGAGCCCCGUCAGUGCUCCACUCAGCACCAAGUGUGAGAUGGCCCUGCUUGCUCUUAGGGACUCAAACUAGUUGGUGUUUUUUUCUCCCCACAUUCUCAUCUAACUCCAGUCCUAUUCUGCCCCUUGGGAAUGCCCCCACAUAGGCUUCUUCCUAAAUCAUACCCACCUAUCACUGAGGAGUAGAAGCCGAAGAGGUGGGUAGUUAGUGCUAAUUAAAAGCAGAUCAAAACUUUUUUGAGACAGGGUCUUUCUGUGCAGCUUUAUGGCCUUGAGUUGAUGAGAGCUCCCUCUGUCUUGGCCUUGAAGUGCUGAGAUGACAGGUGUGAGCAUGGUAUCUAGCUGUUGGUGUUAAUUUUAAGUCUCCUCUGUGAAGGCUCAGCAGCCAGUGACAAGUGGGAAGACAUCCUCAACAGGGAUUGUGUCACUGCAGCCUGGUUACUGCAGGCUGCCUUGUGCAGGGGUCAGGGCUGUGAGUCCAGGAGAGCUGAGACAUGGUUGGGGCAAUUCCGGACCCUUUCUCGCCCGUUUUCCUCAGUGGAUGGUUACUGCAUGGGGUAAACAGGGAGGUGUGGGCAUGGGAGUGUGCAGAUGGUCUGUCCUAGCACUUCCCACAUUCCCAGUGAAAGAGAAAGCCAAGCCAUCAUCUGAGAGUGACAGGGAAACGGGAGCUUGAGAUGAAAGACAAUAGUGUGACACAGCUGUCUAUAGAGGGGGGGGCUGCAGCAGUGGCAGGGGUCCCCCUGAAGCAGGCGGCUGUGGGUUUAAGGAGGGAUCCCACAUAGAAGAGAAGUAGAAGCUGGUUUCGAUGUGUUGCUGUGAUAAAUACCAUGACCAGAGGCAGCAACUCGGGGAGGAAAAUGCUGAUGUUUCCGGGUCACAGUCAACUGUUGCAAUCAGGGCAGGAACUCAAGGCAGCACUGCUUGCUGUUCCAUGCAGAUCACCUCCAACUGUGGAACUCACA